rnacentral:rRNA from 1 species
UGGGGAAUUUUGGACAAUGGGCGCAAGCCUGAUCCAGCAAUGCCGCGUGCAGGAUGAAGGCCUUCGGGUUGUAAAGCUCUUUCGGCCGGGAAGAAAUCGCACGGGCUAAUACCCUGUGUGGAUGACGGUACCGGAAUAAGAAGCACCGGCUAACUACGUGCCAGCAGCCGCGGUAAUACGUAGGGUGCGAGCGUUAAUCGGAAUUACUGGGCGUAAAGCGUGCGCAGGCGGUUAUGUAAGACAGAUGUGAAAUCCCCGGGCUCAACCUGGGAACUGCAUUUGUGACUGUAUAGCUAGAGUACGGUAGAGGGGGAUGGAAUUCCGCGUGUAGCAGUGAAAUGCGUAGAUAUGCGGAGGAACACCGAUGGCGAAGGCAAUCCCCUGGACCUGUACUGACGCUCAUGCACGAAAGCGUGGGGAGCAAACA